rnacentral:rRNA from 1 species
AGGGCACCACCAGGAGUGGAGCUUGCGGCUUAAUUUGACUCAACACGGGAAAACUCACCCGGCCCGGACACUGGAAGGAUUGACAGAUUGAGAGCUCUUUCUUGAUUCAGUGGGUGGUGGUGCAUGGCCGUUCUUAGUUGGUGGAGUGAUUUGUCUGGUUAAUUCCGAUAACGAACGAGACUCUAGCCUACUAAAUAGAUCGUCGGCUUACAAACGCCGGCGAGACUUCUUAGAGGGACAGGCGGUGAUUCAACCGCACGAAACAGAGCAAUAACAGGUCUGUGAUGCCCUUAGAUGUCCGGGGCCGCACGCGCGCUACACUGAAGUGAUCAGCGUGCUUUUUCAACCUACUCUGUCAAGAGUGGGGAACCCAAUGAACCUUCUUCGUGAUUGGGAUAGGGGAUUGUAAUUAUUCCCCUUGAACGAGGAAUUCCCAGUAAGCGCGAGUCAUUAGCUUGCGUUGAUUACGUCCCUGCCCUUUGUACACACCGCCCGUCGCUACUACCGAUUGAAUGAUAG